AGUGAACGCUGGCGGUAGGCCUAACACAUGCAAGUCGAACGGCAGCACAGUAAGAGCUUGCUCUUACGGGUGGCGAGUGGCGGACGGGUGAGGAAUACAUCGGAAUCUACUUUUUCGUGGGGGCUAACGUAGGGAAACUUACGCUAAUACCGCAUACGACCUACGGGUGAAAGCAGGGGAUCUUCGGACCUUGCGCGAUUGAAUGAGCCGAUGUCGGCUUAGCUAGUUGGCGGGGUAAAGGCCCACCAAGGCGACGAUCCGUAGCUGGUCUGAGAGGAUGAUCAGCCACACUGGAACUGAGACACGGUCCAGACUCCUACGGGAGGCAGCAGUGGGGAAUAUUGGACAAUGGGCGCAAGCCUGAUCCAGCCAUACCGCGUGGGUGAAGAAGGCCUUCGGGUUGUAAAGCCCUUUUGUUGGGAAAGAAAAGCAGCAGGUUAAUACCCCGCUGUUCUGACGGUACCCAAAGAAUAAGCACCGGCUAACUUCGUG
rnacentral:rRNA from 1 species